ensembl:lncRNA
AUGGAAGGGGUACGUGCUUCUGAUGCGGGUUCGGGACAUUUUAUGGACCCUGCCAUGGGCGCCCAAGUGGCACAGAGUGCGACCAACAUAGCGGGAUUUAACAGCGAUGACACCCUGUUACCACUCACUGGAUCCCGGGCGUAUUUGGACGUUUCGCCAGCAGCAGGGCACCCGUUCUACGGAGGAUCGGAAGUAGUUUAUACCAACGGGCGAUACAGAGAGCACUGCAGUCCAAGACUUGGAGGUAGAAGCCGCGAUAAUUCAGCCGAGCGAAGUCACGGAGCUGCAAACACACCUUGCGGCAUCAUGAAGGUAGACAGCACCCACACAUAGCCCAACGCCCACACUGCGUUUGACGGUAACCCUCUGAAGGAAAUCUCAAGAAAGGCAGCAAUUGCUGCCUGUGUGAUGAGUUAUUGAUAUUAUGAUAGCAAAAUCUUCUAAUGCAGUCCUCUUCUCAUUGCACAACACCUCCAGGUAACCUGAGACCUCUGAGCUCCAAACGCCACAGAGGUCUUCGAAGGACUGUUCCUCACAUCUCGCCGCCGUGUUUCAGAUCUUAGUUUAUGUCUUCAAACUGAAGACCUCCCGUUGGUAUAUCCCAUUGUUGCCAUGAGACUACACUGCCAUCUUAAUCGUAUUUCCCCCUAGCUUCUCUUUUCCCUUCUGCCUUAUGUAGCCAAGGUCAUAGUACAAAGUCGUUCUUCCUAGAAGACAUCCACCGAUAAAUAUUGGCACAUAGGGUACAUUGAAAGGAUCUUGAGAUGUAUAUGAAAAUAGUUAUUUUUAGUUUUUCCAAUUUUGGAUAACUGGAAAAAAGCAAUGUUUGAUGUAGGCAGAAAUGGGCCGUAUAAUAUGCAGGAAGGAUUGUCGACAGCUGUAUUUGACAGAUUAGGGUUUCGGUUACUUGAUAUUCUUUUAGACAUCUGAUGCAAUGUGAAUGCUCAUUGUUGCAUGAUGUUGAAUUAACUAACAGCAUAAUCCACUUUUAUUUGAAUGAAGAUAUAUUGUAUAUACAUAUAUAUAUAUUAUCAUUGCUGUGUAAUUUAGGACCCUGGUUAUAACAACCAUUUUAUAACCAUUACUAGUGGUUACUAUAGUUAAGUCAAGUAACUUCCUAAAAAAAGUAUCAUUAAUGUAAUAUUAUUAGUUUGAAUAUUAAGUUAUUGUCCCGAGCCACAGUCUGUUCUUUGCUUGAGCUUUGCUAAAAUUCUUGGAUAAAUAAUUAUCAGUAUUGAAAAAUCAAGGGAUAAAUGAAAAUACAAUGACAAUAUCUGUGUCAUUGCUUUCUCAAGUGUCGUUGCUUAUUCAUCAGCAGCGAUGGGAAUUGUUGCCCCCGCGGAGGCAUAGCUCCUCAGAAUAAGUCCCCUGUAUCUUUCACUAAUAAAUGCGUAACUGAGAACAUCCAGGAUUAUUUUGUAUAUCCCCCUAACUCUUCAAACAUUAGACUGGUGGAUUAGACUCACGCCUUGUGAUGUUCUUAUUCAUGAAGGCAUUUCUCUUGUGUUGACUGAUCGACUGAUUGUAGGUGGCAAGGCAUUGAGGCUCUCUGUUUUCAAAACAUCCUUGGCUCCUGCAUAAUGCACUACGGGCGGAACUGAGAGUGUCGAUGUUUAUACCGUAGUCACGACAAUGAAAAGUUUAAUAUUUGAGUCGUUCCUUGUCAUUGUUGCUGUUUGGUUUAUAUGGACGUCGUAAAUGUCACACUCCUCUAAAGGUCUCUGUAAUGCCUCAGAAUUCUCUGCUGUCAGCAUCAAAUGUCUGUCAUAGACGGUUAGAGAUGCAGGGUGUGUAUUAUACGAUAUGUGUGCGAUGUAAUGUGUCUGUGUGUGUGUGAUUGCAUGUGUCUGAUUGCAUGUGUGUGAUUGUGUGUACGUGUGUGGAAUUCUGUGUGCGAGCGAGCGGGUGUGUGCGUGUCUCUAGGCUGUGUCUCCAAGCGUGGGUUGGCAAAUAAGCAAUCACAAAAUCGCAUUUGCUUGCGUUACCGUGGCCUCUAGGGGGUUUGUGUGUGUCUGUCCCCCCCACCUACCCUGUGUCAUUUCCUGGGCAGGGGGAGUGUGUGUGUGUGUGUGUCUGUGUGUGUGUGUGUGUGUGUGUGUGUGCGUGUGUGUGUGUGUGCGUGUGCGUGCGUGUGUGUGUGUGUGUGGUGAUGGAGCCUGAGUUGUCUCAUUAUGUAAGGAUGGACUGUGGACAGCUGCAGGGUGGGCUCCAGCCUGGCUGAGGGGCGAGGAGGAGGGCAGACCGACUGUGAGCCAGCACAUCACGCUAUACGAAGCUGGCAGGAUUGUGUCCCUGGGAAUGUGGUGAUGACGGCAUCAGCGUCACAGAGGACAACAAUAUGUUUUCCCCUUUUCCUGUGGCUCUGACCUUUACCCCCACCUCUUGAUCUACGUUUCCUUGCAGUUUUUCGAUCUCCCGACACUCAUGCAUUUUCAAGGUCAUUGGUGUUCACAGAUCUGCUGGGAGCAAGAAAAUGCUCUGUUCAAUAUGUUUUGUUGGGCAACAAGCAACAACAUAAAUGUGGAGGACUGGUAUGAACAUUGUGCUUCAAAUAUGUUGUUUUGCAUCAUUUACUCAAUUACUUAUUAUCUUAUUUAUUAAUCGACACAUGUUAUGAAGCCUCCAUAAGAGGCAGCCGAUUAAUUUAAUUGAAUCGAUCCAACUGUGUUCCAUGUUUUACCUGAAGAGAUUUCUUCCGACCACUAAAAAGUUCUGUUGGGCUAUACUCAACCCAAUUUAUCAUCUACCAGCUACACUAAGAGGAAUAUACGUUUAGUGAAUGUGCUUUGUUGUGGGAGUUCAGAAAUCAACCAGUUAAUCAGUAAUAGGAAGUUUAUUUUUCUAGGUACAUGGAGAUAGUGCUUUGAUGUUUUCAGCUACCGGCGUCCACUUAAAUAAUCAUCUAUUUUUCUUGUUAAAAUUAGCAUCUGACAAAAAAUCUUGAAACAAAAUAGUUUUAAAAACCAAGAAUAAGUGACUGAUAAGAAAGCUGAAGGAAAAACACCUUGCUUCUUGUGUGGAUCAGGGCCCUUGUGUAGCUUUGUUGACACGCUCAUGAUCACGUUGAUUGCGGUUGUGCGUUAUGCAUCCGGCAUCAUGCUGCGACUCUUACAUUUAUCGCAGUAAAAGCAGCAGGCAGCAGUAGGCCUUGCCUGGUUGAUAAUGGGGCCUGUAAGCCAUACUGGGUGCUUAUUUAAGGAGCGUGGUGGUGGCAAUGCUGGUGGUUGCAGGAAUGGCAAACAUAGUGCAGCACACAGCACAGUAGAGGGGGGGCGUAGGGAUAGCAGCGCUUCAUAGCAAAAGCCUUUCAGGCUCUGCCAGGGCUAUCAAAUAGAAACUGCUUGGGUUUCGUACAGAAAAUACACCGGUUGUGCACAGGAAGAAAAACAUUUCAUUGGACUUGAAAAAUGCUGUCGCUUGUCGAUUUGAGGUGUUACAAUUAGUUGACGCUGUUCGGCUGAAUUUUGGCAAUUUUCUCAAAUGGAUAAUUUCAAAGCAUUUUUCUGAUGCCCUUUUGAAUGAAAAACUCUUUUGACUCAUUCAAAGGUUAUUCAAGACAUUUCUGUAAGCUUUUGUCCUCCACGAUACCUUUUGACACCUGCCCUCUAAAAAGGAAUAUACAACCUCCUCUUACCGUUUCAAAGAAUUGCA